ACAUUCAUCUUGUUGGCCUCCCGUUCCCCAUGAGCAAAGUUGACUUUGCUAAAGAUAUAACACAGUGCUCCUCAACCAGGGAUGGUUUUGCUUUCCAUGGGGACAUGUGGUGAUGCCCAGAGGCAUUUCUGGUUGUCACAACAGAUGGAAAGGGGAAGAUGCUGCAGACGUCUAGUGGUCAGCGGCCAGGGAUGCUGCUCAGCCUGCCACAGCGCACAGGACAGCCCCCUCAACAAACAAGUAUGUGGCCUAAAAUGUCAACAGUGCUGAGGCAAUGCCCCACCUCGCCUGUGUUUUCUAAACAAUGCAGAGUCUUGGGAAGGUGCUCCAGUUUUUCUCAUUGCUCUUUGUCAGUUUUUGACUAAGUGGAGAUUAGAAGGAUGUGGGCAAGAAAGGGACUGUGUGUGUGUGUGUGUGUGUGUGUGUGUGUGUGUGUGUGUGUGUUAGUUUUCUGACUGAGGAAAGGAGGUAAGACCCAUUACCUCCAUAGCUGACAAGACUGAGAACAUUGGGCAUAUAUUUUAUAUAAUAUUAAAACAAAGCAUUCACAAGUUAGGAUUCAAGCAAAGAGUCCAGAAAUUCGUUCUGAUCUAGGUUUAGAGAACUGGCCUGAAGCGUUACAACUGUCAGCCUACAGCUCACCCCAGCUCUUUCACUGACGGUCCUUACAUCUCUCCUGUUCCUGUUGUGCCUUCCAGUCAGUGAGUCUGUGAUAUAAAGUACAGAUUCGUCCCUCCUCACCUGUGAGGAUGGAAACCUACAGGAUUUCCUGUGCCUGUGUUAAACAAUACUGGGAUGGGCCAUAUUGUCCCCAUGGCAAAAACUCCAGUAAAUAAACACUUGCUUCUGGAAGAUAAGACUAUGAGCGAACUAGAAGAGCUUACUCAUCAAGGCCAACAGCUUUUUUAGGAAGACCGCCUUCAAGACCCUCACUUCAUUGUUCCCUCCAGUCCAAAGUUACCAAUGCCAACCAGUGACUCAGCUUCCAAGACCUGCCUUAAAAUCUCCAAGACCAGGCAUAUCCACUGACUUUCCCUUUCCAGAGCUCUGUUAAAACCUUUAAAGAUAUAAUAAUCCAUCUUUCUUUAAUAGGUUUAGUAAAAUGGCUUUGAUUGGUCAA